rnacentral:rRNA from 1 species
GACGAACGCUGGCGGCGUGCUUAACACAUGCAAGUCGAACGGAAAGGCCCUGCUUUUGUGGGGUGCUCGAGUGGCGAACGGGUGAGUAUCACGUGAGUAACCUGCCCUUGACUUUGGGAUAACUUGAGGAAACGGGUGCUAAAUCCGGAUCGGAACUCCUGCUGCAUGGGGUUGGUUGGAAUGUGUCGGCGGUUGGGUAUGGACGCGCGGCUUAUCAGCUUGUGGGUGGGGUAGUGGCUUACCAGGCCUUUGACGGGUAGCCGGCCUGAGCGGGUGACCGGACACAUUGGGACUGAGCUACGGCACAGACCAGAAUCGGAGGCAGCGGAGCAGAAUAUAGCACACCGGGAGGAAGGAUAGUGUGACAACGCAGCGCCGCGGACAAGAGGAAGGGGGUCGUAUUGUGAAUUGGCCUUUGAAGAAGCGAAAGUGACGGUAAUUGAUAAAGAAGCACCGGCUAACUACGUG